rnacentral:rRNA from 1 species
CAGGACGAACGCUGGCGGCGUGCCUAAUACAUGCAAGUCGAACGGCUUUUCUAUGGAAGCUUGCUUCCACUGAGAAGAUAGUGGCGAACGGGUGAGUAACACGUGGGUAACCUGCCCAUAAGAGGGGGAUAACAUCCGGAAACGGGUGCUAAUACCGCAUAGUUUUCUUGAUCGCAUGAUCGGGAAAGGAAAGACGGCCUUUGUGCUGUCGCUUAUGGAUGGACCCGCGGCGUAUUAGUUAGUUGGUGAGGUAACGGCUCACCAAGACGAUGAUACGUAGCCGACCUGGGAGGGUGAUCGGCCACAUUGGGACUGAGACACGGCCCAAACUCCUACGGGAGGCAGCAGUAGGGAAUCUUCCGCAAUGGACGAAAGUCUGACGGAGCAACGCCGCGUGAGUGAAAGAAGGGUUUCGGAUCGUAAAACUCUGUUGUCAGAGAAGAACAAGUUGGAGAGUAACUGCUCCAGCCUUGACGGUAUCUGACCAGAAAGCCACGGCUAACUACGUGCCAGCCGCCGC